rnacentral:rRNA from 1 species
CGAAGGUGGCAAGCGUUACUCGGAAUUACUAGGCGUAAAGGGCAGGUAGGUGGUCUGAUAAGUCUGCUGUGAAAGCUCCUGGCUCAACUGGGAGAGGUCAGCGGAUACUGUUAGGCUUGAGUAUAGGAGAGGGUACUGGAAUUCCCGGUGUAGCGGUGAAAUGCGCAGAUAUCGGGAGGAAUACCGAUGGCGAAAGCAGGUGCCUGGACUAUUACUGACACUCAGCUGCGAAAGCUAAGGGAGCAAACAGGAUUAGAUACCCUGGUAGUCUUAGCUGUAAACGAUGCACAUUAGGCGUGGGAGGUAUCGACCCCUCCUGUGCCGACGCUAACGCAUUAAAUGUGCCGCCUGGGGAGUACGGCCGCAAGGUUG